CACCAUGGCCUAAAAUACUAACGUCUCUUCCAUUUUGGGCCAUUGUCGUGGCUCAUAUAAGCUACACAUGGGUAGCAUCAUGGGUGCCAGCCUAUCUACCAAAGUAUUUACAUAACAUUCUUAAAUUUAAUAUUGAAGAGGAUGGAAUCGUCUCAUCCAUACCAUAUGUUGGGCGUCUAGUAUCGGGCCCUGUGUGUGGCUACAUAUCGGAUUGGUUACAAAAGAAACGGUAUUUUACAACUGGAACUGUCCGGAAAAUCUUUCAGUCAAUCGGUUGUGUGGGAUGUGCUGGCUGUAUGAUUGGUAUCAGUUUUUUAGAUCACAACAACCGAAUCCUGGCCGUGUGUUUAUUGAUAAUGGGGUUAACCUUCCAGAAUUUUUCCUCCGUCGCUUUCCGUAUAAACCAUCUAGAUAUAGCUCCUAGGUAUGCUGGUGUAUUGAUGGGUGUAACGACAACGGUAGCAAUGUCUGCAGGUCUCUCGGCUCCUUUUAUAACAUCAGCUUUAAUAGAAGAGGGCACUGCUGAAGAAUGGAAGGGGGUAUUUUGGAUUGUAGCCGCACUGAACGUUGUUGGGGCAAUAAUCUUCGCAAUAUUUGCACAAGGGGAAAUCCAGCCGUGGGCCAUAGAGGUUAAUGAUAACGUCAUCGAACCACUAAUCGACGAAUCGGGUGAAAAGGAACUAGAUGAUAAUUCGGACUAACCAAAUUAUACUGACGUAGUUUCGGGUAAUGGUGUCGUGAAUCGGACAUAUAAUUUAAAAGAUGGAGACAAUUUGUCGGUAGGCAGGCGAAGUGACGUAUCGUCAGUUGUUUUCGAUUUAAAGGGUUCUAGGUUUUUCUGAUGUUGCAGAAUUCAAAUUUGACAAAUGUCUGCUUUCAUGAAAAAUUUGACAUCACCUCUGCGCAGUAUCUUUAUUUAACCGAUAAUAAUGGCUAUAAAGUUAGUAAGUUAUGAUCAUCUAUUUCAAUUAUGUGACCCAUAUGAAUAACUUCUUUUCGAGAGCGCAUGAAAUAUUGACUGUAAAUUUAUAGUAUUUUAUUUGAUAUCUCUGCUAAAAACAAGCAUUAUGAUGAGCAACACAAAAAUCAUGAUAUUGUUGAUAAUAGGUCACCAAUGGUUGACUGAAGCAGUACAGGCGAAAUACUCAAACAUGUGUGUGUAAGGUGAUAUCGCCGACUAUUACAUAUUUAUCACCCAAUAAUACAUUCUACAGUAGAUAUCGCUUGUGUGUUAUAUUUCAUAAUCUAGGAGAUAUCGCUUUACAUGAAUUUGAUUGGUCAGUUGAAAAGGAACUACUGUUUUUUAUUUUCAAAGAACAGUUCAUUUCUUAUUAAAGAUACAUUAUGGGAGAUAAGAUAAAGAGAUGGCAGUUCUCGCUAUAAUAGUUAAAAACUAGAUAGUGUAAAGGUAAUUUGCUGGAAAUUUCAGUCAAAUUGAUCCACUAUGAGCCGAGAUAGAAGCGGGUGAAAUUUUUGCAUAGUUUCGGUCAUCAUUACUAAAAUCAUAAAUAUAAACAGCAUAGUCUCGAUUAUCCACUUUUUCUGAUUUAAUUAUCAAUGGCAAUUAGCGGCAUAUAGGAAUCUAAUCCAGCCAACAUCGAAGGCUAGCCUUGACAUCGAGAGUUUAUUAUGGUCUGGAUUAGUUAAUUAAUGUCUAAUUGAUAAUUUAGAUAACAUUUCAGGCCUAAAGAAAGACUUGUAAUAAGCAGAUUUUGCUCUUGCAUAAUGCAUGUUUAAAGUAACUUUUUUUUUUAUUAAAAAUGAACUAUUAUUAUUCAAUUGACCUUGAUGGAAACACUGGGUCAAUAUAAAACACUUUUCAAUGGUUGAAUUGCUGUCAAAAAAUGAUGUAUCACUACGCCGUAAUGUUCAGUAAAAGUGAAAUCUACAGUAAAGAAUUAUAUUUAUUUGUGCAUGUAAGAAAGGAUUGGGUGAUAAAUAAAAUCUCCUACUCGUCUUUUUUGAUAUAAAAAAAUAUCAACACUCGUUGAUAA